GAAUGGAGUGAGGUUAGCACCUUCACACACUGUUACUACUUCACUAAGGAACUAAUGAGGAUCUGUUCUCCUGUUGAGGAAUUCACCUUCACAGAGCUCUAAUGACUGCAUUAGUGGAUGGACGGAGCUUCCCAUCAUAAAGUUUAGGAAAUGGACACUCACAUCUUGUUAAUAGAUCAAUUCAAUGCUCUUGUGCCAUUGGCCAACCGGUUGGUUUGACUAAUCAACCAGUCUUAACUGUUUUGAGAGGGUGGUGCUAGAAAUCCCAUCUCUGUUUAGGGAAGGUGGGGACACAUUGUGGACCAUAAACUACAGUGUAAGCUGCCAGGAUGAGGACAGGUCUGUGUGGGACAGCUAUAGAGGACAGAGUAGACUGCCAUGAUGAGGACAGGUCUGUGUGGGACAGCUAGAGAGGACAGAGUAGACUGCCAUGAUGAGGACAGGUCUGUGUGGGACAGCUAGAGAGGACAGAGUAGACUGCCAUGAUGAGGACAGGUCUGUGUGGGACAGCUUUAGAGGACAGGGUGCUGUCAUGAUGAGGACAAGUCUGUGAGGGACAGCUUUAGAGGACAGGGUUACUGUCAGGAUGAGGACAGGUCUGUGUGGGACAACUAUAGAGGACAGAGUAGACUGUCAUGAUGAGGACAGGUCUGUGUGGGACAUCUUUAGAGGACAGGGUUACUGUCAGGAUGAGGACAGGUCUGUGUAGGACAGCUGGAGAGACCAUGACUUUGGAUUCACUCAUACUGAGAGAGAAGGGGGUUUCAAGUCAGCUGCACAGAGAGGGAGAUCACCUUU
rnacentral:lncRNA from 1 species